AUUGAACGCUGGCGGCAGGCCUAACACAUGCAAGUCGAGCGAGCGGCGGACGGGUGAGUAAUGUCUGGGAAACUGCCUGAUGGAGGGGGAUAACUACUGGAAACGGUAGCUAAUACCGCAUACCAUCAGAUGUGCCCAGAUGGGAUUAGCUGGUAGGUGGGGUAAUGGCUCACCUAGGCGACGAACCCUAGCUGGUCUGAGAGGAUGACCAGCCACAUUGGAACUGAGACACGGCCCAGACUCCUACGGGAGGCAGCAGUGGGGAAUAUUGCACAAUGGGCGCAAGCCUGACGGAGCAAUGCCGCGUGUGUGAAGAAGGUCUUCGGGUUGUAAAGCACUUUCAGCGGGGAGGCGUUACCCGAAGAAGAAGCACCGGCUAACUCCGUGCCAGCAGCCGCGGUAAUAC
rnacentral:rRNA from 1 species